CAGGACGAGGCGGCGAGGCUGAGGGAAGGGCGGCGAGGAGGCGAGGCGCGGGACCUGCCUUUUGCGGCCACGAGGAAGCAUUAUUUUUCUCUUCAUCGCUUUGCUUCACGGACUUCCCUCCUUCAAGUGAGACGGACGUCUUGUGGCACACUCUUGGCUCUACACUUACCCUUCAGGGGGACUGACCCCUUGCUGCCGAGGGAACCAGCGAGGUCUGGGAGUGUGCUCCUGCAGGUGUGGGUCCAGCCGGGCGUCAGUCCUCCACUAAGCUGCUUCUGCAGGUGUUGGGGAGGCACCAGCCAGGCAGCCUUCAGGAGCUGUCAGGGAGAAAGGAAGAAGUCAGCUUUGUGAGGACUGUCAGUGUACUUUGCUCCCCAGGGCUGUAGAUAUUGCAAAUAAAUAAGUAAGGGACGCU